GCCCCCAUAGUCUAAGGGUAGGAUACAAGAUUCUCAAUCUUGUGGUCGGAGUUCAACUCUCCGUGGGGGUAC
rnacentral:tRNA from 1 species